rnacentral:lncRNA from 1 species
UUUCCUUUUUUUUCUUUUCCAGGAGUAGUUUGCAGCUAGAUAUGGUGAUUGGUCUAACCAACUUGCAUCAUGAAAUUAUAAAACUAAUACAACAGAGGGGGGAAGAGAGGGACUGAAACUGCUCCUCUGCUACCAUGCUCUUACUGUGAUCAACUUCGACCAUCCUGAAAUUGCACCAGUAAUCUCUGUAGUGCAUGUGGCUAUCUCUUGGUGGCCUGGCCCAACUCGUUGCAUGUUUCCUCACCAGCUUCUUCCAGCAGUGUAGUAGAAUGGUCUAGACCUAACUCAGACUGCUAACAUUAACAGACCAUCCAAAUGUGUCCUCAUUCGGGAAAGAUUGAGUAUAAGAUGCAGAUGGUCACUCAAAGAUGACUUUAAAAGAAAGAGCUCAUUUUCUAUGUAUAUGUUUGUCCUGGACCAGAAAUGUUGGUUACCAAAGAAGAAGAGGCAAACUGUGGGUACAAGUCGAGAAAUGAAAGACUCUUCAGGAUGAAAUGGAGAUAUGUCAUGUGGAGAGGAGCUCUGGCUGCAUUUCUGCUUUAUUGGAUCUGUUCGUUUCAAGUCAAGCUGUACAAAAGUGGAAACCAACUUGAAAGAUAAGUCAUAAUCCUGUGGCGCCAGUGACAGCAUAAAACAAAGUUGGAUAAGUAGCUGGGAGAAGGAUACAGAAUGUAUGAUUUAUAAGAUCGUCUGGAAGUUUUGCGUAGUUAUUACGACAAAGGUGAGUCACAACAUUAGUCAAAAACUGAAUUAUUUUUGGAAAAUAUACAGGAACAUUUAAUGUGUUUUUCAGUGUGGUUCUGAAAACAUGCAUUUGCUCUUGUUUAAUGUCUCCUGGUUUUACCUUUUCUUUAUGAUUAAAACCCUGGACACUUACUUAAAUAAAAGUACCUUGACUUCCA